GGGGAUUUAGCUCAGCGGCAUAAGCGCCUGCCUUGCAAGCAGGCAGUUGUGAGUUCGAUCUCCA
rnacentral:tRNA from 1 species